UACGUAGGGACCAAGCGUUGUUCGGAUUUACUGGGCGUAAAGGGCGCGUAGGCGGCCAUUCAAGUCACUUGUGAAAUCUCCGAGCUUAACUCGGAACGGUCAAGUGAUACUGCUUUGCUAGAGUGCAGAAGGGGCAACCGGAAUUCUUGGUGUAGCGGUGAAAUGCGUAGAUAUCAAGAGGAACACCGGAGGUGAAGACGGGUUGCUGGGCUGACACUGACGCUGAGGCGCGAAAGCUAGGGUAGCAAACGGG
rnacentral:rRNA from 1 species